rnacentral:rRNA from 1 species
GAGUUUGAUCCUGGGCUCAGGACGAACGCCGGCCGGCGUGCCUAAUACAUGCAAGUCGAACGAGGUUUGGUCAGUUUGCGGUGGUGCUUGCAUCACCAAUUACCGAUCAAACCGAGUGGCGGACGGGUGAGUAACACGUGGGUAACCUGCCCUUCAGCAGGGGAUAACAUUUGGAAACAGAUGCUAAUACCGUAUAACCACGGAGACCGCAUGGUCUCCGGGUAAAAGAUGGCGCAAGCUAUCACUGAAGGAUGGACCCGCGGCGUAUUAGCCAGUUGGUGGGGUAACGGCCUACCAAAGCGAUGAUACGUAGCCGACCUGAGAGGGUAAUCGGCCACAUUGGGACUGAGACACGGCCCAAACUCCUACGGGAGGCAGCAGUAGGGAAUCUUCCACAAUGGACGCAAGUCUGAUGGAGCAACGCCGCGUGAGUGAAGAAGGCUUUCGGGUCGUAAAACUCUGUUAUUGAAGAAGAACGUGUGUGACAGUAACUGGUCAUGCAGUGACGGUAUUCAAUCAGAAAGUCACGGCUAACUACGUGCCAGCAGCCGCGGUAAUACGUAGGUGGCAAGCGUUGUCCGGAUUUAUUGGGCGUAAAGCGAGUGCAGGCGGUCUUUUAAGUCUGAUGUGAAAGCCUUCGGCUUAACCGAAGAAGGGCAUCGGA